rnacentral:rRNA from 1 species
UGGGGAAUAUUGCGCAAUGGGCGAAAGCCUGUCGCAGCGACGCCGCGUGAGGGAUGACGGCCUUCGGGUUGUAAACCUCUUUCAGCAGGGACGAAGCGCGAGUGACGGUACCUGCAGAAUAAGCACCGGCUAACU